GACAGAGGGGGCAAGCGUUGCUCGGAAUCACUGGGCGUAAAGGGCGCGUAGGCGGGAUGGCAAGUCAGUCGUGAAAUCUCUCGGCUCAACCGAGAAACGUCGGCUGAUACUGCCGUUCUUGAGGGAUGCAGAGGAGACUGGAAUUCCCGGUGUAGCGGUGAAAUGUGUAGAGAUCGGGAGGAACACCGGUGGCGAAGGCGGGUCUCUGGGCGUCUCCUGACGCUGAGGCGCGAAAGCGUGGGGAGCAAACGGG
rnacentral:rRNA from 1 species